rnacentral:rRNA from 1 species
UACGAAGGGGGGCAAGCGUUGUCCGGAAUCAUUGGGCGUAAAGCGCGCGUAGGCGGCCCGGUAAGUCCGCUGUAAAAAGUCCAGGGCUCAACCCUGGAAAGCCGGUGGAUACUGUCGGGCUCGAGUCCGGAAGAGGCGAGUGGAAUUCCUGGUGUAGCGGUGGAAUGCGUAGAGAUCCGGAAGAACACCGGUGGCGAAGGCGGCUCUCUGGAACGGUACUGACGCUGAGACGCGAAAGCGUGGGGAGCGAACAGG